rfam:Bacteroidetes bacterium GWF2_43_11 gwf2_scaffold_6227, whole genome shotgun sequence.
GUAAGUUGAAUCCCCGGUGUCACCUUACAGGAGGGGGCAUCAAACCACCCAAUGGUGCUGCUGUAAAGAGUGGUGGUACUGAGUGAUUGGGUAAAGUUUCUGAUCCGU